UACGGAGGAUGCAAGCGUUAUCCGGAAUGAUUGGGCGUAAAGCGUCCGCAGGUGGCUGUGUAAGUCUGCUGUCAAAGAGCGAAGCUCAACUUCGUAAAGGCAGUGGAAACUACACGGCUAGAGUGCGUUCGGGGCAGAGGGAAUUCCUGGUGUAGCGGUGAAAUGCGUAGAGAUCAGGAAGAACACCGGUGGCGAAGGCGGCGCGCUGGAUCCCUACUGACGCUGAGGCACGAAAGCCAGGGGAGCAAACGGG
rnacentral:rRNA from 1 species